CAAAGGGUUGGAGCCGAUCCAGUUUAAAGGGUUGUUAGCCUUGUGGCAAAAAGAGGAGACUCAUCUGGAAAAGGGAUUUUAGAAAUUUCAACCGACAGUAGUGCAAAAGGAAAUAUGGGGGAGGUUUUUGGGCAGCGACCGAUGAUCGUGACUAGUAAAACCAGUGAGAACACGGGACAAAAACCAAUGGGAAUGAUGGAAGAAGAACACCUAUCCCUUUUUAUGGUCGUGGUGAUUGAAGAUAUUGUUCAGAAUCUUAGCCAUGAGGUUGCGAGAGAUGCAGCGAGAAUAGGAAAAGACAAGGAGACGUUUGGAUCGAACGAUGAGACAUUGGCGGACACAGAGACGGCGUGAUUAGGUUGGUAGUUUUCAAAUUUUUCCUCCUUUUGCUAAUGGUAUUUCCAAAUUUUAGAAUAUUUUUCUGGAAUUGUCAACCAAACCAAACUUAGUUGCAUUGUUUGAAAUAAGAAUCAGUAAGAAUAAGACGAAUUUGAUUAUUGUUAAGUUGAGGUUUGAAAACUCCUUUUGGGUUGAAGUUGUGGGGUUCGUAAGGGGAAUUUGGUUACUGUGGAAUGACGAGGUUGAAAUUGAUAUACUGAAGGUUCACUUACAAUUUGUCCACAUGAGAAUUUGAGUCAACUGAAACCAUCGUACUUUUAUGUGCACUGCCAUUUAUGCUAGCCCUCAAUGGAAAAGAAGGGUGCAGUAAUGGAAUAGCUUGGGGGAGAUAGAAGUUGGAUUUGAAGAGUUGUGAUUGUUUUUCGGAGACUUUAACACCAUCUUGAGUUAUGAUGAAAGACAAUGAGGGAGAAAAUAACGUAGUGUAGGCUAUAGCAGAUUCAAUUCUUUCGUUUCUCAGUAGAAUUCAUCUGAUUUGGGUUUUCAGGGGUCCAUGUAUACUUAGAGCAGGAGGAGCCUUUUCCAAAGGUUGGAUCGGGCGCUUUGUAAUGAUCGUUGGCUAACAAUGAUGCCCAAUACAUUUGUCUGUCAUUUGCACAAGCUGAAAUAUGAUCACCAACCAGUUCUCAUGUCAAUUAAUGAAGUAAUAGGAAAAGAGGGGGAGAGACCCUUUUGGUUUCUAGCUAGCUGGCUAGUUUAUCCUAAAUUUCAUUAUAGUCACUAAAUCAUGGAGAGUUGAAGCCGACAUUGGAGAAAAUUUUGGAAACUUUACGCAACUGGUCCAAUAAUGGAAUAAAGUUGUCAUUGGUAAUAUUUUUGCACGGAAAAGAAGAUUGAUGAAAAGGUUAGACGAUGUCUAAAGAGCAUUGGAGCGUUGUAAUUCGUUACUAAUAAAAUAGAGGGAAGUAGACAUCCGAUCUGUACCAAGAGGAAUUGUUGUGGUUUCAAAAGUCCCAUUGUGAUUGGCUCACUAAUAGGGACCAUAACACAAAAGUCUUUCAUAGUCGCACCUUAAAAAAGUGAAGGCAGAACAGGAUAAAAGCUUUGAAAAUCGAUAGUAAUGAAUGGUGCCAUGAUAAUGAACUUCUAAAAAGGCAUGUUAUUGAACAUUUUUCCAAACUGUAUACAGUAGACAACUAUUCGAUCGGUGAUUUUUUGGUCAAAGAGUGCUUUCCGAGUUUGGGAGAUGAUCUUUUGGGUGUCUUCACUUUUGAGAUAGUAUGGCACCGUUUAAAGCUCUUGGAAUUGACGAGAUUCAUGCCAAGUUUUAUCAAGUUAGUUGGGCCAUUACCGGUGAAAGUGUUUAUAAACUGGUGAUAAAUGUCUAUUUGGGAGGGACCUUGAAUUCAAGUAUUAACAAAUCGUUGCUGGUCCUCAUCCCUAAAAACAUCGGUGCAAAAAUGAUAUGUCAGUUAGACUGAUCAAUUUGUCUAUUGUGUUGUACAAGAUCAUCAGCAAAUCAAUUGUGAUUCAACUUCGAUGGCUCAUGCAAGUCUUGGUCAAACAAAAUCAGUCUAGUUCCAUACCGUCACGCAAUAUUUCAGAUAAUUUCAUCAUUGCUCAAGAGGCAAUUUAUACAAUGAAGAACACUAAGAGUAAGAAGGGAUUGACGGUAGUGCAGGUUGAUCUAGAGAAAGUUUAUGAUCGGGUCCAAUAGGACUUUCUGAAAGACACGCUGACUGAUGUUGGCUUUUCGAAAUCCUUUGUGAGACUCAUUAUGAGUUGCAUUUCCUCGUCAUCCAUGCAAUUGCUUUGGAAUGGUUCUCUAACUGAGUCGUUCAUUCCAACCAGAGGUGUGCGCUAGGGAGAUCCUCUAUCUCCGUAUCUUUUCAUUUUGGGAAUGGAACGAUUAGGACAUUUGAUUGAAUCAAAUAUAGAACAGAAGCUAUGGGAACCUCUUAUUCUCUUGUAGAAGCCUUGGGGUGUCCUAUAUUUUCUUCGUAGACGGUUUAGUUCUCUUUUGUAGAGCGGACAAUAAGGAAGUAGGAUGUCUCAAAAAGGUUCUUAAUACUUUCUAUCAUUUAUCUAGGCAUUGGGUUAAACAGCAAAAGACCCAGGUUUUCUUCUCUAGUAAUGUGACGAAGGAGGAAAUGGUAAGGCUUUGUGCUAAGCUCGACUUUAUUAGAGUAAGAUAUUUUGAGAGAUAUCUAGGAAUGCCUUUUUUUCAUGACAAAGUUGGGAUUAACACUUUCCAGUUCAUCAUUGAUAAAGUCAAUAGUCAGCUUAAUGGAUUGGACGUUCGCAAGCUUUCUCUAGUUGGAUGGCUCAUCUUGGUUAAGUUUGUGUUGUUGGUGAUUCCUAAUUAUUUUAUGGCUAUUGCAAAAAUUUUCAUUACAAUAUGCAAAUAAAUUAAUAAGUUGGCUCACGGUUUCUUGUGGGGGUCAUCUUCUUUAGGUUAAAAGACAUCUUUUAUUAGUUGGAACGAUUGUUGUAAGUCUAUAAAGAAUGGGGGUUUGGGAUAUGACAGUUACAUGCUUAGAAUAAGCUUUUCCUUUUGAAGCUCGGUUUCAGUUUGAUUGCAAAUAUAGAUGUCUUAUGGGUCAGGGUGUUACGAAAUCAAUAUAGCAUCUAUAGCUUAAUUUUGAAUGAUAUUCAUUGUUCUAGUUGUUCUUAUCUAUGGCAAUCUUUAUCUAAGGUUUGGGAUGAGGUGAAGAAGGGGCCCAUUUGGGCUGUUGGUUAACUUUUGAAAUGAUGAUUGGCUGAAGGAGAUGAAGCACUUGAAGCAACACUAUAUCGACUAUGGAAUCCUAGAUGAGACAAUCUCAGUUUGUGAUGUUAUUGUAUCAGAUAAUGUACGGAAUUUACAGUUGGAAGAUAGCACCUACAUGCUCUAGAGUGGGUUAAAGUCAACGUGGAUGGAUCGAUUUCAAGAAAUAUCACGAAGGCAGUAAUUGUCGGGGUGAUUAGAAGACCAAGUGGAGGGUGGUUGGAGGGCUUCAAAAUGUCAACAAGUGUGAAAAAUAUUUUUCAAUUUGUUGGGUUAUAAACUUGUACUUGGCUCAAGCCAUACAUGGGUUAUUUUAUUUGCUAUAACAAGUAGUUGGGUUAUAAACUUAUACUUGGCUCAAGUUAUAAAUGGGUUAUACUACAAGCACAACUCCAUAACCCAACUUCCUCAAAUGCUGCAAAAUCUUCAAAAUAUUAUUUGCCUUGAUGGCGUACCCAAUAAUGGAAUUAUUCUAGCCUUCAAGAGCCUCCUUAUAAGCUUCCACAUUCCCUGUAAUCCAAAGCUUACUAUACAAAUAAAAAAAUCAUUUUUUUCACUUUUUCCAUGAUGUCUCGAACCUUGGUAUCUUCACAGUAGAGAAACCCAUCAAGGGAUUUUGUGAAGUAGAGUUGAAAAGUGAGGUUGAGGGUCUUAACAGGGUUCUAGGAGAGCAUAGCUUUGAGGGAGAGAGAGUGGGAAGAGAUUUUUGGAGGGCCUGAGGGGCAAAACAAGUAGUCGAGAAAAUAGGUUUUGUGUCAAAGGAUAGUUUAAGGUAUUGGAAAAUGAUGGCACAUGAGUAGUCGUCGCCAUUGAUGGUGAAAAGCAGCAACGUGUGCGUUUGUUAAUUGUUGGCGCCACAGAAAAAAUUGGUUUUCACUUUUGGGUUAAUUAGUGAAAAUAAUUAGUCUUGCUUAGGAGGAUUUCAAUUUUGUAAGAAGCAUUUUAAGAGGAGUGUGUAUUCGAUCAAUUCGGGUUUUAUAGAACUAAUAUGUACAAACUGAGAUAACUGAACGGAUUUGAAUAUAUUUUGCAGCGGUCUAAAAAACCUCCAAAGAAUAGUAUAAUCACGGCAACUCAAAAACCAUAAAAAAGGUACUUUUUUUUAGAAUGGACCUAAAAAAUUAGAUAAUUUAGUGGUACCUAUAUUUUUCGAAAGUUGGGUAUAUAAGUUGAGAAAUGACAAGCUAAUUUGGUAUUGAUUGUCCAAGCGAUAUUGAUAUCGCUUGAGAGAAUUAUCGAUACCACUCUUCUAGUAUUGAUAUCUACGUAACAGAUUUGGUAAAUUUUGUUAAAUGGCCUUAAUGCAUGUUUAGUACUUAUUUUAUGUUUAUUUAAUGAAUGCUUGAUAAAAAAAAGUAAAUGUAUGACUUACAAUUCACAUGAAUGCUAUGUUAAUAAAAAAAACUGCAUACGUAAUAUCGUGAUAAUUUAAGAAGAACAUGAUGCGAGACAGUGGUGUAGUGUCUUAGUAUUCGAGCUUGGCAAUCGGGUCGGAUAUAAGGUGUUACAAUUGAAAAUUAACAUUAAUGCAUAUCUAAACAUAGGUAUAAGAAUAUGAUCCUUUAACCUUUUGAAUGGAAAAUUUAAAAAAAUUGAACAGAUUUGUGUUAGAUGUAUACUUGUCACACCCGGUUUUUUUUUAAGUUCAAAAAUUUGGAAUAAUUGGGGGUUAAAUUAAAAGAAACCAAAAGUUAAUGGUUUUUAUUGAAAGUCAAGAAAAAUUUAGUGGCUGAUUUGGAUAUAGUUAAAUUCCAACUCUGGUGUGGUUGGAUGAGAAUCGAUUAGUUUGUUAAUGGGAGACAAAAUGAUUACCAAUAGAUGAUUUCAAUAGGGUUAAUAAUCAUGCGUAAAGGGCUAUAAAUAGUUGAGAAAUAAAUCCCCAGGGUGAGUUAUUCUCUAUUUUGUUUUGUUUUGUUUUGUUUUUCAUCUUUUUCUUUGGUUGCUCCGAAGAAGAGAUAAUUACAGGGAGCUCUGCAUGGAGUGACAAUCAAGAGGUUUGAGUUAUAAAAGUAGAGAAUCCAAUGAAUUGGUAAGGUUCUAAGUCCUUCAGUGUUAGUAGGAUUAAGAAAUAAAGUUAAGAAUUUUCAGAACCUUUGAGAGGUUCUGCAUGUUUUUGGAAACUGAGUUUUAAGCUAGAAUGCUAAGUUUAAUUUAUGAUUUUGGUUGUCUUGCUUAGCUUCUAGGAGAAUGAAAGCUCUAGCAUUUGGAAAAGCUAAAAUAAGGUGGCAGAGAAACAUCAAGUGAGUUCCUGUACUCCAUUAUUGGGAUGUUGUGUAGUUGGCACAAAUCUGUGUUCAGUUUUGUGAUAAUGUAUAGUCUCUACUGAUUGAGAAUGCUAAGCAUGUAUAAGAUUGUAUAGGUAUAUGAGUAUCCACUAAUGUAGUUCACCAUGCAUGAAAUAAUUAUGAUUUCAUAUCUAAAUGAUAGAGUACUUGUAACACCCCUAACUUGUAUUCAUCGUUGGAAGGUUACUGAGCAUUACCGGGAAACCAUAACUUAAAAACUUUUAUUCUUAAACAUUUCAUAUAUCAUAGCAUAAUUCAUUCAAACAUAUGCAUAAUGUCCCUUAUUCAAGCCCUCGGUGCUUUAGAAUCACUUUAGAAACAAUUUGGGACUAAAUCAGAAACAUUUAUAAUUUCAUAGAAAAAGAUAAAUUUUUUUCAAACUAUAGGGUUCACACGGCCGUGUGGCCAAGUUGUGUGAUUCACACGACUAAGACACACGCCCGUGUCUCAGGCCGUGUAACAUUUGAAAUAGGGACACAUGGUCGUAUCUCAGCCCGUGUCUGUGCCCGUGUAACUUACCAACUUGUCCCACACGGCCAAGCCGCAUGCCUGUAUGCCAGGCCGUGUAACACUCGAAAUGGCCUCACACGCCCGUGUGUCAGGCUGUGUGCUGGGCCAUGUAACUAGCUUACUUGAAACUUUUAGAAAUUAUAGGGGACACACGACCGUGUCACAUGGCCGUGUGUCACACAUGACUGAGACACAUGCCUGUGUCUUAGGCCGUGUGGACAAGAAAAUGACCACUUUCAAGCCAUUUUUUCACCCCUUUCAAGCAUGAACCUACAAGAAAUUUGUACAUGUAUACAAGGCCUUUAAACUUACUCAAAUUAUGCAAAGAAUUAUUAAUCUCCAUACCAAAUGUUCAUACAAUCAAUAUGCCAAAAGACACCUCAAUCAUCAAGCAUCAAACUUAUAUAUAUACAUGAGCAUAUUAGUUCAAACCUUAACCAUACAUACCUAAUUAAUCUCAAUACUAUUUCCAUGCUAUAUCAAAAAUAAUCUCACCACAUUUGACCACAUUUAUACCAUUUACCAACUGAUUUGUUACCAACUGAUUUGUUACCAACUUAUAUAUAUACAUGAGCAUAUUUGUUCAAACCUUAACCAUACAUACCUAAUUAAUCUCAAUACUAUUUCCAUGCUAUAUCAAAAAUAAUCUCAGCACAUUUAACCACAUUUAUACCAUUUACCAACUGAUUUGUUUCCAUACCAAUACAUAACACAAUUGACACAUACCAAUCUUACCAUAUUAGGCAUACCAUAUUUUAGUCAUGCACAUCUAUUCAAGACUUCUCCAAAACAUACCAUGUCUUGGCCAUAUUGAGAUUGAUACAGCAUUUACCAAAUUUGGUUAUUUCUAAACAUGCAUCAAAUUGAUCAUAUUAACCAUAACCAAUAAGAUACCAAUAGUACCUUGAGUACAUCAAAUUCAAGGCAACAUUUCAUGCCAUAAUUAUCAACCAAAAUGACAUAUAUAUACCAAACUCAUCAAUUAAACAUUAGACAUAAUUCACCUAUACAUGCCAUUAUAACAUUAACCAAUACAUCAAAAUUUACCGAUAUAAUCGUUGGUGUAAUGGCCCAAAUUCAAAAUUAUCGGAAUAGUGGUUUCGUAACCACAAAUCCGAUUUAAAGAGAAAUUUAUUUUAAUAUUUUUGCAUGAAUAUUGAUAUGAUAGGAAAAAUCGUAUGAAAAUAUCGAUAGAAAAAUUUUACUGAUUAAGUGGUUAGUUAGAAAAAAGAAAUUAUUGAAGGAAUUAGGUAAAAAUAAGAUAUCGAGACUUUGAUCUCGUAAAACCGAGUCAAAAAUAUUUUUAUAAAUAUUUAUGAAGUGUUAGUAAUAUGGUAUUAAAAUUUCGUUAGAAAAAAUUCAUGUUUGGGUAGUCAAUUAAGUGAAAAGGACUAAAUUGAAAAAAAUGUAAAAGUUACUAGAGGGAUUAAAUAGCUCAAUUGUGGAAUGAGGAGGGACAUAUAACCCCAAAAUGAGAUAUUUUGGGCGGCAUACGCUGAGAAAAAUCAGGAGAAUUGAAGAAAUAAGGGUAAAAUUGGAAUAUUACAAAAUUUGCUUUAAAAGUUAGGACUAAAGUGGAAUUAUCUAGAUUUCUCUUUAAUUUUCUGCACUCUCAUCAGCCAAAAACGUCCUAAGGGUUUCUUCAAGUUGGUUUUUCAUAAAUUUUGGACCAAGUGAGUUAAUUCUUGCCUUUUUCUUGUAAUUUUUGCGUUUCUAAGACUUUUACAACUAGGUCCUAUUACUUAAUUCAUUAGUUUUUGAUUUUAGGAAUGAUAUUGAAAGUUGAUAUGAAUAUGUGCUGGAAGUUUAUGAGGAAAUAGGAUGAAAUUGAUGCUUUAAUUUGUUUAUGAGAUGAUUUUAUUAGGUAAUUCCAAUAGAAAUUGAUUUGUAGGACCUAAUUGUAAAAAGGUUUGGAAUUAAAAUUUAGUGCUGAAAUUCUGAUUUCCAAAGGUUAUAAGGUAGUUUAAAGUGAUAUAAUAAAGUGUUUAUUGAGAAAAAUCAGCUCAAUUGAGAGCUUAAUUGAGUAGGGACGAAAUUAUCAUUGUUGAAAGUUUAGGGGAAAAAUGGUAAUUAACACCAUGCACUAAAACAGUUUUGGACAGCAGCAGUACUCUAACUUUAAAAAAUCACCAAAAAUUGUAGAGAUCGAAUUAGAGGAUGAAUAAAAUAUGAAAUCAAAGCUUAUUGAGUUUAGUUUCUUAUAAAAGAAACGGUGUAAGUAAUGGAAUUGUAAAUCAUGAAAUAUAAUAGAUUUUGUGAGACAAGGUCAGAAUGAAUUCGGGUUCCCCUGUUCUGAAUUUGGAAAAUCAUUAAAAAUUGUACAAAAAUGAUUGAGUUAUAAUUUAUAUGCUUAGAAUCCUUAAUGAGUCUAUUUUCUGAGGAAAUAAAGGGAAGCAUCAUCCUAAUUCUGUACAGUGAGAUAAUUAAUUUUUAGUGAAGAGGGGUCAGAACUAUCAUACAGUGAAACAGGGGAAACUUUAAAGAAUAAACUGUACUUAUUGGCUAAACCAAAAAUUCUAAAAUUUUUAUGGUAAGAAGAUAUGUGAGUCUAGUUUCAGGGAAAAUUAACGGAUCUUAAUUUGAAGUUCUGUAGCUCAAGAUAUAAAUAAUUUAGUGACUGUGACUCAGUGAGGCAGCUUUGAAUGCACUAUAAAUAAUAAUGAAAUUGUAGAGAAAGUUACAUAUGAACAUGAAAUGUAUUAGAUUAAUGAUUAAAUUUAUUUAUUUAGAUCCGGAAAAUUCAAAUACGAAGCAAGAUCGAGGAAAAGAAAAAGUUCGGGAUUAGUAGAUUUUUGUUUACGAACAAUUGUCGAGGUAAGUUCAUGUAACUUGAAUUAUAUUCAUAAAUGCUUGAAAUGUUUGUUAUUGAUGUGAAUAUGAUUUGGAUGUUUAAUGUAUGAUAAUUGAUGAAGUAUUGAUAUUCUUGAUGAAAAGAGGAAAUAAAUCCCGGUUAAAUGAAAGGAAAAAUUCGAUGGAUCUUUGAAAAAGGAAUUGACGGUAAAAAGGAUCUAGCCCGGACGGGUGAUCCUAUCCUGAUAUAGCCCUCCCGAAGAAUAUGUGGAAAAUAGAUUUAGCCCGGACGGGUAAUCCGAAUUAGGGUCUGAAUUUAGCCUGGACUGGUAAUUCAGAUCCAAGCUCAUUAGAGUAAUUGUCGUUGCAGGGGAUUUAGCCUGGACUGGUAAUCCCGACAAUACUCUAUGAGUUUAUAUUACAGGGGAUUUAGCCUGGACUGGUAAUCCUGCUGUAAGGAUGAGGUUCGCGGGAGUGUGCUCUCUGAAAUGGAAAUGUGCGCACAUGAAUAUGAAUUGACGGACCCGGAUUUGUACACUAAAGUGUACCUCUGAAAAUCCAUCGAAAUUCCAAGUAAUUCAACGGGAUAAAUAUGGAAAAAUAACAAGGAAAUGGAAAUCAUGGAAUUGAUGAGCUCAUCAAUCAUUUAUUUUUGUAAUGAAUUUGCAUGAGGUUGAGUUUGUAUGUGAUAGGUAUAUGUUUAUGUGAAUUGGAUGUGUGCUUGUGUUAUUAAAUGAUGGAUGUAUAAGUAUGGUAAGUAUAAUUCCUGUUGCAUGAACUUACUAAGCACAAAGUGCUUACCCUGUUUCUUUUUCCCCUGUUUGUAGAGUUAAGAGCUCGGAGGUCGGAUUUGGUCAGAGACACAUCACACUAUCAAUCUCGAGAUCUCGGUACAUAAAGGAACUUAUUUUGGAAAUCAAUGGCAUGUAUAAGCUAGUAAAUUAGAUGUUAAUGUUAAAUGAAUUUAUGGUUAGCCAUUGGUAUGGCUAACAAAUUUUGGUUUUGGUAUGUGAUGAAAUUAUCUUAUGAAUAUGAUAAAUCUAUCUUGAAAAAAAAAUUCGGUAAAAUCUGGUAAUGCCUCAUACUAUAUUUCAGCGACGAAUACGGGUAGGCGGUAUUACAUUUGUU
rnacentral:lncRNA from 1 species